CACAUGCAAGUCGAGCGGUAAGGCCUUUCGGGGUACACGAGCGGCGAACGGGUGAGUAACACGUGGGUGAUCUGCCCUGCACUCUGGGAUAAGCUUGGGAAACUGGGUCUAAUACCGGAUAUGACCACAGCAUGCAUGUGUUGUGGUGGAAAGAUUUAUCGGUGCAGGAUGGGCCCGCGGCCUAUCAGCUUGUUGGUGGGGUAAUGGCCUACCAAGGCGACGACGGGUAGCCGACCUGAGAGGGUGACCGGCCACACUGGGACUGAGACACGGCCCAGACUCCUACGGGAGGCAGCAGUGGGGAAUAUUGCACAAUGGGCGGAAGCCUGAUGCAGCGACGCCGCGUGAGGGAUGAAGGCCUUCGGGUUGUAAACCUCUUUCAGCAGGGACGAAGCGUGAGUGACGGUACCUGCAGAAGAAGCACCGGCUAACUACGUGCCAGCAGCCGCGGUAAUACGUAGGGUGCGAGCGUUGUCCGGAAUUACUGGGCGUAAAGAGUUCGUAGGCGGUUUGUCGCGUCGUUUGUGAAAACCCGGGGCUCAACUUCGGGCUUGCAGGCGAUACGGGCAGACUUGAGUGUUUCAGGGGAGACUGGAAUUCCUGGUGUAGCGGUGAAAUGCGCAGAUAUCAGGAGGAACACCGGUGGCGAAGGCGGGUCUCUGGGAAACAACUGACGCUGAGGAACGAAAGCGUGGGUAGCAAACA
rnacentral:rRNA from 1 species